AGGUCAGUAGAGGUCAGUCUCAGUACUGUGUGUCAGGUCAGUAGAGUUCAGUCUCAGUACUGUGUGUCAGGUCAGUAGAGUUCAGUCUCAGUACUGUGUCAGGUCAGUAGAGUUCAGUCUCAGUACUGUGUCAGGUCAGUAGAGUUCAGUCUCAGUACUGUGUCAGGUCAGUAGAGUUCAGUCUCAGUACUGUGUGUCAGGCCAGUAGAGUUCAGUCUCAGUACUGUGUGUCAGGUCAGUAGAGGUCAGUCUCAGUACUGUGUCAGGUCAGUAGAGUUCAGUCUCAGUACUGUGUCAGGUCAGUAGAGUUCAGUCUCAGUACUGUGUGUCAGGUCAGUAGAGUUCAGUCUCAGUACUGUGUGUCAGGUCAGUAGAGGUCAGUCUCAGUACUGUGUGUCAGGUCAGUAGAGUUCAGUCUCAGUACUGUGUCAGGUCAGUAGAGUUCAGUCUCAGUACUGUGUCAGGUCAGUAGAGUUCAGUCUCAGUACUGUGUGUCAGGCCAGUAGAGGUCAGUCUCAGUACUGUGUCAGGUCAGUAGAGUUCAGUCUCAGUACU